AAACCGUUCAGGGGUAAACCUGAGAAACCCAAAAGAUCGAAUGGGGAGAUUCAUCGUCAACGGUGCUGGCUCCCGUUUGUGCGCGAUGCUCCGAGUGGGCCCUCGUGGUUCCAUGGCGAGGGCACGCCACUUUCGGCUUGAACGUUCCGGCACCGUAGUCGUGCACUUCUCCCCUAGUAGAACGUCGCGACCCGUUGCGUGUCGGUCUACGGCCCGAGCGGGCGCCUGUCGCGGCGCAUUACGCGCACGCGGCAGACCCUCGGUUGCCCGGCCGGCUGCGCGACGGUACUCACACGGUAUCGGGCCGCAACCAAUCCAUUCUCGAAUGUGUGUGCGUCAGGCCCGCCGCAAGCUAGGGCAGUUUUACCCGGAGGUACGGACCUGGUGCCGUCCCCGGGCCUGACCAGCUGUUAGCAGGCGGUGUCCUCGGACUGGCCAAGCUUCGAAUUACCGGUCGGCGACGCUCCUGCUUUGGGUACUCUCAGGACCCGUCUUGAAACACGGACCAAGGAGUCUAACAUGUGCGCGAGUCAUUGGGAUGCAUAAACCUAAAGGCGCAAUGAAAGUGAAGGUCGGCCUAUGCGUCGACCUAGGGAGGAUGGGCCGCGUUACGAUGCGGCCCCGCACUCCCGGGGCGUUUCGUUCUCAUUGCGAGAAGAGGCGCACCUAGAGCGUACACGUUGGGACCCGAAAGAUGGUGAACUAUGCCUGGUCAGGACGAAGUCAGGGGAAACCCUGAUGGAGGUCCGUAGCGAUUCUGACGUGCAAAUCGAUCGUCGGAACUGGGUAUAGGGGCGAAAGACUAAUCGAACCAUCUAGUAGCUGGUUCCCUCCGAAGUUUCCCUCAGGAUAGCUGGCACUCGCUCGUUCCUCCGUGAACGCGUGCGAGUCUCAUCUGGUAAAGCGAAUGAUUAGAGGCCUUGGGGCCGAAACGACCUCAACCUAUUCUCAAACUUUAAAUGGGUGAGAUCUCUGGCUUGCUUGGAUUAUGAAGCCACGAGAUUUUGGAUCAGAGUGCCAAGUGGGCCAAUUUUGGUAAGCAGAACUGGCGCUGUGGGAUGAACCAAACGCAGAGUUAAGGCGCCUAAGUCGACGCUUAUGGGAUACCAUGAAAGGCGUUGGUUGCUUAAGACAGCAGGACGGUGGCCAUGGAAGUCGGAAUCCGCUAAGG
rnacentral:rRNA from 1 species